rnacentral:rRNA from 1 species
CCUACGGGAGGCUGCAGUGGGGAAUAUUGCACAAUGGGGGAAACCCUGAUGCAGCGACGCCACGUGAGUGAAGAAGUAUUUCGGUACGUAAAGCUCUAUCAGCAGGGAAGAAAAAAAGUCCUUUGGACUUUGGACGGUACCUGACCAAGAAGCCCCGGCUAACUACGUGCCAGCAGCAGCGGUAAUACGUAGGGGGCAAGCGUUAACCGGCUUUACUGGGUGUAAAGGGAGCGUAGACGGCAGCGCAAGUCGGGAGGGAAAUGCCGGGGCCCAACCCCGGAACUGCUGUGGAAACUGUGCAGCUGGAGUGAAGGAGAGGUAAGCGGAAUUCCUGGUGUAGCGGUGAAAUGCGUAGAUAUUAGGAGGAACACCAGUGGCGAAGGCGGCUUACUGGACUGUAACUGACGUUGAGGCUCGAAAGCGUGGGGAGCAAACAGGAUUAGAUAACCGUGUAGUC